rnacentral:rRNA from 1 species
AUACGAAGGUCCCAAGCGUUAUUCGGAAUCACUGGGCGUAAAGAGUACGUAGGCGGUUUGGUAAGUCAGGUGUGAAAUCCCGAAGCUCAACUUCGGAACUGCAUCCGAUACUGCCAGGCUAGAGUAAUGGAGAGGCAGGUGGAAUUCUCGGUGUAGCAGUGAAAUGCGUGGAUAUCGAGAGGAAGACCAAUGGCGAAGGCAGCCUGCUGGACAUUUACUGACGCUGAGGUACGAAGGCUAGGGGAGCGAAAGGGAUUAGAAACCCCGGUAGUCC